UUAUACAAAGAAGAGUUUGAUCCUGGCUCAGGAUGAACGCUAGCGGCAGGCUUAACACAUGCAAGUCGAGGGGCAUCGCGGGUAGCAAUACCUGGCGGCGACCGGCGAACGGGUGAGUAACGCGUGAGCAACAUUUCCUCAGCAGGGGGAUAAUCGAGGGAAACUUCGUCUAAUACCCCGUAACACUUAUUAGCGCAUGCUUUUAAGUUAAAAGCAUUAUUGCGGCUUUGGAUUGGCUCGCGUGACAUUAGCUAGUCGGUGGGGUAACGGCCCACCGAGGCUACGAUGUCUAGGGGUUCUGAGAGGAAGGCCCCCCACAUUGGGACUGUGACACGGCCCAAACUCCUACGGGAGGCAGCAGUGAGGAAUAUUGGUCAAUGGACGGAAGUCUGAACCAGCCAUGCCGCGUGAAGGAUGACUGCCUUAUGGGUUGUAAACUUCUUUUGCAUCAGAGCAAUAAGGCGUACGUGUACGCCGAUGAGAGUAUGUUGCGAAUAAGCAUCGGCUAACUCCGUGC
rnacentral:rRNA from 1 species